UCGCUGUUUUCCAUGGAUGUCGCCUCCACCUAGGAUGGCCGCGCAGAGAAGCCACCGAGGCGAGCCAAGGUCCAAGAACGAGGCCAGUGGGUCGACGGCCA
rnacentral:lncRNA from 1 species